ensembl:lncRNA
GUAGUGCUGCAUCACACCUUCAACCCAGACGACACUGUACCUUACAGCAGCAGACUAGUGACCAGAAGUGAUGUAAUACUCACAGUGGACUGUCUGUUCCAUGAGAGACUGGGAGGACUACUGGACUGUCCUCGCAAUGAUGCAGCAGUCAGAAAUAUUAGGCAGAAGUUUGACACAGUGGACUGUCUGUUCCAUGAGAGCCAGGGACUACUGGACUGUUCUCGCAAUGAUGCAGUAGUCAAAAAGAUUAAGCAGAAGCUUGACAUGACCAGAAGUUGUGGCUUCCCAGCUUGGAUUCUAAACGGUGUCAUGUGGGCAGUGUCUUCAGGCUACAACUACGUUUUCAUUCACAAUACACGUCCCUCUACAAGGCCUCGUUCUGGCAAUCUAUCUGUGAUUUGGAGCAAUAUAAUGAUCCACAUCCCUCUUCAAGACCUCGUUCCAGAAGUGAUGAAAGCAGUUCCACUUUUGUACCAACAAUGAAGACAUGCUAAUAGUUUUUAUGGAUUCCAUCUUUAAUUCAUGGUCUACUUAAGAAAAUGUCUUUACUUUUGAUGGUAAGAGCACUUGCAGGUGUAAUGUAUAGAAAUUGGGGCCGAUAUUAAAAAUGUUAAUAAAAAUGAAUGGAAAAUAAUAAAGAAGAAACAGGAUCUGUGGAAGGGGAUGCAUCUCAACAUCACUGCUAGUUUGCACAUACAUCAUACUUCUGACACCAGUGUAGCAAACAGUGGGGGUAACCUGGGUUGCUUGACGCAAGAAAAACUUGCUAGCCACAAACUCAAUAGGGAUAGCUUUCUCUUUUCGAGGAGUUUGGAACAGGCAUACAAAGGCUUGACUUUUUCCAAUAGUUCGAUGACUAAGCUGAGCUAAGCUAAACAUUUUUUGUUCAUUUUUUU